CCCGUUAAAAGAACAUUAAUUGUUUGUUUUUCCAUUUGAGUUCUUACAAUUUACUUGAAAUUUCCAUGAAUGAGAAAAUAAUUCAUUCUUCAAUCGUUUCCAUCGAAUUAAUCAUAUCGCUUGAGCCUAGUUAAUUGCAAAAAGAAUGUAAAGCGAAAAAAGAACUACGAAAACAAAGGGGAUUAUAGCGGAAAUUCAGUAUACUAUUGCAUUGUGUUUUCUCUUCAAUGGGAUAUCUUAAUAACGAUAAUGGUGAAA